AUGCAAGUCGAGGGGUAACGGAAGUAGCUUGCUACUAGACGACGACCGGCGCACGGGUGAGUAACGCGUAUGUAAUCUGCCUUGUACAGAGGGAUAGCCCAGAGAAAUUUGGAUUAAUACCUCAUAGUAUUACUGAAUCGCAUGAUUUGGUAAUUAAAGCUCCGGCGGUACAAGAUGAACAUGCGUGACAUUAGCUAGUUGGUAAGGUAACGGCUUACCAAGGCUACGAUGUCUAGGGGUUCUGAGAGGAUGAUCCCCCACACUGGUACUGAGACACGGACCAGACUCCUACGGGAGGCAGCAGUGAGGAAUAUUGGUCAAUGGACGCAAGUCUGAACCAGCCAUCCCGCGUGAAGGAUGACUGCCCUAUGGGUUGUAAACUUCUUUUAUAUGCAAAUAAACCUACUUUCGUGAAAGUAGCUGAAGGUAGCAUAUGAAUAAACACCGGCUAACUCCGUGCCAGCAGCCGCGGUAAUACGGAG
rnacentral:rRNA from 1 species